GCUUGCACUCGCUUGGGCAGCAGAUACUAAAAUUGGAACAAUACUGAGAAGAUUAGCAUGGUCCCUACGCAAGGACAACACGCAAAUUCAUGCCACUGAUAAAGCUAGU
rnacentral:snRNA from 1 species